rnacentral:lncRNA from 1 species
AAAUAUUCUCAUCAAUUUUUUAAUUGAUUUGAGAUUUAUUUGAGAUUUUAGUUCAAUUAGGUUAUUUUUAUGCAUUUUAAAUUGAUUAAAAAUAGUUUCUGACUUUUAAAAAUGCUGAAUUUUUUUUGUCAAACUUUGUUUGACCUUGUUGAACUUAGGAUAAAUCACUUGGACUUUUCAAGGUUGAUUUGAAUUGAUUUUGAAGUUUGACCUUUU